GCUCGCUUAGCUCAGCUGGUUAGAGCGUGGUGCUAAUAACGCCAAGGUCACAGGUUCGAUCCCUGUAGUGAGCA